rnacentral:rRNA from 1 species
AUUGAACGCUGGCGGCAGGCUUAACACAUGCAAGUCGAGCGAGCGGCGGACGGGUGAGUAAUGUCGGGGACACUGCCUGAUGGAGGGGGAUCACUUCUGGAAACGGUAGCUAAUACCGCAUACCCUCAGAUGUGCCCAUAUGGGAUUCGCUAGUAGGUGGGGUAAUGGCUCACCUAGGCGACGAUCCCUCGCUGGUCUGAGAGGAUGACCAGCCACACUGGAACUGAGACACGGCCCAGACUCCUACGGGAGGCAGCAGUGGGGAAUAUUGCACAAUGGGCGCAAGCCUGAUGCAGCCAUGCCGCGUGUAUGAAGAAGGCCUUCGGGUUGUAAAGCACUUUCAGCGGGGAGGCGUUACUCGCAGAAGAAGCACCGGCUAACUCCGUGCCAGCCGCCGCGGUAAUUC